rnacentral:precursor_RNA from 15 species
GAACAAUAGUUGUAGGAUUUGGCUUUGGGCACUGUUUUCGUGUGGUGGUGAGAUUUUAUUUUGAUUCUAGCACCAUAUGAAAUCAGUUCUUGUACCAAAUACCAGCGAAAUACACCAAG